UACGUAGGCAGCGAGCGUUGUUCGGAAUUAUUGGGCGUAAAGAGCUCGUAGGCGGUCUGUCGCGUCGGCUGUGAAAACUCGGGGCUCAACCCCGAGCCUGCAGUCGAUACGGGCAGACUAGAGUCCUGUAGGGGAGACUGGAAUUCCUGGUGUAGCGGUGAAAUGCGCAGAUAUCAGGAGGAACACCGGUGGCGAAGGCGGGUCUCUGGGCAGUAACUGACGCUGAGGAGCGAAAGCGUGGGGAGCGAACAGG
rnacentral:rRNA from 1 species